rnacentral:miRNA from 14 species
AACGGUAUCAACCUCAGGUAGC